ensembl:lncRNA
AUGUGCAUUACUAAACGAUCUGAUUUUUCAGAUUGCAGUGGAAAUUUUUCAUCAGUUAUACCAUACAAAAAUCACAAGCACACUCUUUCGCUCUCUCUCUCUCGGUUUCGCUCUGUCUUGAUCUGUUCAUCUCUGUGCUGGUAUACAGUGGCAGCGUUUCUCUUCACUGCAGGGCAGCUUCAUUCUCUCCUCCAGGAUGUCGGGCCUUCUGACCAGCUCUCUUCUGCUCUUCUUCUCCCUGACGCUGUUCCAGACUCCCACACCAGAAGCAAACAUAAAUCAAACACCACACCAGAACUUCAUCAUGGCAGCAUGUUGAUGCCAGUAUUCAGUGUCCUCCAGGACCGUGGGAGAUCGCAGCUCAACCUCCAUCCUACUUUACUGACAACAAGGAGACCAUUAGAGUGCCUUACACUUCCUCAGUCAAGGUUCAAUCAGACAAUGUCCACAAAAAUAGCCAAUGCAAACAACAGAGCUUGCAGCAAAUACUGGAUUAGAACAUUUGUUUAAAGGGGUCAUAUGAUAUUGCUAAAAAGAACAUUAUUUGGUGUAUUUGGUGUAAUGCAAUGUGUUUAUGCUGUUUAAGGUAAAAAAAAAAAAAAACCUUUGAACAUUAUUUUUUCUCGUCUAUGCCCUGCCUUUCUGAAACACGUCGAUUUUUAAAAAGCUCAUAGUUCUGAAAAAGCGAGGUGUGCUCUGAUUGGCCAACUAUUCAGUGUGUUGUGAUUGGCCGAAUGCCUCAAGCGUGUGCCGGAAAUGUUAUGCCCUUAACACACUAUACCGUCUCCCAGGCCAGCAGCACGAGACUCAGUCCUGCUGCUCUGCUCGUGCACAUCCCAUCAUCGGUUCUCUUUUAGUGGUUCAGUCAAUGUACUGUUAGAAGUAACUGAAUAACUCGGGAUAUUGGUUUAUUUCGCGUCAGAGGGAGUGUCAGGCACGAUUUGGUGAACUGGUUCGACCGGUUCACUAAGAAGAUCCGGUUAAAUAUAAAGAUUUGUUUGCGAUCCGGACAUCAAUAGAUGAGAAAAAACCAAUAAAACCCAUUACAAACAAGGCA